ACAGUGGUAGUUCAGUGGUAGAAUUCUCACUUCUCAUGCGGGAGACCCAGGUUCAAUUCCCAGCUAAUUUA
rnacentral:tRNA from 1 species